rnacentral:rRNA from 1 species
GAUGAACGCUGGCGGCGUGCUUAACACAUGCAAGUCGAACGAUGAAGCCCAGCUUGCUGGGUGGAUUAGUGGCGAACGGGUGAGUAACACGUGAGUAACCUGCCCUUAACUCUGGGAUAAGCCUGGGAAACUGGGUCUAAUACCGGAUAGGAGCGUCCACCGCAUGGUGGGUGUUGGAAAGAUUUAUCGGUUUUGGAUGGACUCGCGGCCUAUCAGCUUGUUGGUGAGGUAAUGGCUCACCAAGGCGACGACGGGUAGCCGGCCUGAGAGGGUGACCGGCCACACUGGGACUGAGACACGGCCCAGACUCCUACGGGAGGCAGCAGUGGGGAAUAUAGCACAAUGGGCGCGAGCCUGAUGCAGCGACGCCGCGUGAGGGAUGACGGCCUUCGGGUUGUAAACCUCUUUCAGUAGGGAAGAAGCGAAAGUGACGGUACCUGCAGAAGAAGCACCGGCUAACUACGUG